rnacentral:tRNA from 9 species
GCCGGGAUAGCUCAGUUGGUAGAGCAGAGGA